rnacentral:misc_RNA from 1 species
ACAAACUUGGUCAUUUAGAGGAAGUAAAAGUCGUAACAAGGUAACCGUAGGUGAACCUGCGGUUGGAUCAUUAGUGAUUACAAACUUGUUGCAUGUUAUGGUGUGUUGUUUGUUCAAUGGCAGCGGUUUAAUUACUCGCCGCCUUGGCAAAACGCAAACAACUACAUUAUGCAUGCUUCAUUCACACCGUGCACAUUGAACCCUGUAUCUUGUGUCGUUUCAAGUUGAUUAAUAGGAGAGCGGGUUGGAAGAAAACUAUUUACUCUUCCCUCCUCUCCUACUAACUUGGCUUGGCGGCACAACAGCUAGUAUUAAACGUCAAUGUUUGUUAUUAGUCUGAAAUUCAUUGUAUGUUUACAAUGUAAUGUUGUAAAGAUAUAAACAACUUUUGACAAUGGAUCUCUUGGCUCUCGCAUCGAUGAAGAACGCAGC